GGGGUGUUUGUGUCUAAAAUGAAUUUUUAAAAAUGUCUUUAAGUUACUGUCAUUUGUUCUGAAUGUCUUUGUGUGAAACAAUUUGUUCUGGAUGUCUUUGUGAGAAUUUCUUUCUUAUAAAUAUCUUUCAUAUGAAUGUUUUUGUGUAAAUGUCUGUUAAUAAUGGCUUUAUUAUGAAUGUCUUUGAAGUGAAUGUGUUUGUGUUAAUGUCAUUGUGUAAAUGUUACCAUUAUGAAUGUUUGUUAUGCUGUAUUUUAGUUUCGUAUCUAGGUUGUAGCUUUUGUAUGUUUAGUCAAUGUCUGCAAACUAAACACCUCAAAUCAAAUGGAAUCAUUUGGUGAAGAAAAGAUGCAAGCAGUUGGUGGAUAAACUCUAUUUUCAAAGGCAAUGUCUUUAGAGAAGUUGAGCCUCGUAAAAAUGUCUUCGCUGAUAGGACCAAGAUAGGCAAGAGAGAUCAAGGUCAAGUUUAAAGACCAACUGUUGUUUAGAACUUAGGAUACUCUGAGAACAGUCGUGAAAGAAAAAAAACAUGUUAGAUUAGCUCUUCUAUUAAUUAGAAAAUAUAUUGUGUAAUUUUCUGA